GUUGAAACACCGGUUUCCGUACGAUCAAUGUUAAGCAACGUCGAACCUGGUCAGUACCUAGAUGGGUGACCGCUUGGGAACACCAGGUGCUGUAAG